UCUACGGGAGGCAGCAGUGGGGAAUAUUGCACAAUGGGCGAAAGCCUGAUGCAGCAACGCCGCGUGAGUGAUGAAGGCCUUCGGGUUGUAAAGCUCUGUCUUUUGGGACGAUAAUGACGGUACCAAAGGAGGAAGCCACGGCUAACUACGUGCCAGCAGCCGCGGUAAUACGUAGGUGGCGAGCGUUGUCCGGAUUUACUGGGCGUAAAGGAUGCGUAGGCGGAUAUUUAAGUGAGACGUGAAAUACCCGAGCUUAACUUGGGUGCUGCAUUUCAAACUGGAUAUCUAGAGUGCGGGAGAGGAGAAUGGAAUUCCUAGUGUAGCGGUGAAAUGCGUAGAGAUUAGGAAGAACACCAGUGGCGAAGGCGAUUCUCUGGACCGUAACUGACGCUGAGGCAUGAAAGCGUGGGUAGCAAACAGGAUUAGAUACCCUGGUAGUCCACGCCGUAAACGAUGAGUACUAGGUGUAGGGGGUAUCGACUCCCUCUGUGCCGCAGUUAACACAAUAAGUACUCCGCCUGGGAAGUACGAUCGCAAGAUUAAAACUCAAAGGAAUUGACGGA
rnacentral:rRNA from 1 species